AUGCACACAGGCAAAGAAAAAAAAAUAGAAAUGAAAAAACAAAGGUCCCGCCACAGUGAUCGACUUCUCUCAGUAGCCACCCACAAACCACCACCAAAUGCAACACUCGCAAAACAUAAAAGGUCUUCAAAAGCAACGCCUCCAAGAAGGAAACAGUGCGCAAACAGCAUCAUUGCCCGAUCCAAGAUCUUAGGUUUUCACCCUGAAGAAGUCCGAGCUCUCAAAACAAUUCCUUCAGCAAGGCAAUUGCCAGGCACAACCAAUGAAGGCCAGACCUUAGGUUUUCACCUUGAAAGUCACGGCUUGGUACCCGAGGAGCACCACCAAAAGUGA
rnacentral:rRNA from 1 species